AACAUUUACAUUAUUAAACGAGUAUGCAUAAAAUACCAAGCAUCAGUCAGAUUUUACCGUUCAACUGUAGACAAUUUCUAUUUUCUUUUCUUUUUUUUUUUUUUUUUUGUUUCGCUUUUUGAUGCACUUCUUUAGCACAAAAUACUGCUAUUGGCACAUAUAAGACCAUGUUCAGGAGACGAUUCCGUAUAUGAAAGCGAAUUCCAAGCUGCUUUGUGAGUGGGGAUUUCACGAACAAAAAUCCUUAAACAAACUAGAAAAUUUACAAAUGAACUCGUAACUCGUCGAUCGAUCGAUCUGCAAUCAAAACUUUGCUAAUGCGAAGUGUACUCUCAAAGGUCACAUGCGGUUAAUUCAUAUUCAAUUAUUUCUGAAACCUGCAUAAUUUGGAGAUCGAAGGAGCACGUGUAUCAGAAUUUCUAAAAACCCCUCAUACCUCCAGAACUGCAGGCGCAAAUCGCAAAAUAAUUUUCAAGACAACAUUGGCUUCAGUGAAUUGGCGAAAGAAGAAAGAGGAAUGAGUAUUCCAAGUCAACGUGGGAGAAGUUAUUCUUAAACUGAGAAAACAUAAUAAUAAUGUCGUUGAAAACCCACUUUCAUAUCUCAAAAAUAUAACCGAAAGUACUUUCAUCACAAGCAUGAUGAACCUACAAAAAGUACGCAAUACUCAAGCCCAUAAACACCUGUACGGAGAAGAAAGAGAACACGCUUCGGAAAAGAAUCACUUUUCCGAAGUGUGCUCUCUUUCAUCUCCAUAUAGUUGUUUAUGGGCUUGAGUAUUGCGUACUUUUUGGAGAUUCAUCAUGGUGGUGAUAAAAGUACUUUUGGAGUGUUCCCAAAUUAACAUUAAAAUGUCAAACACCUGAUAAUUUUUAUUCAUUAUAAGUUCGCUUUCACAGUGUGUUAAUCAAAAAAGUAAUCAACCAAUCUGCAUGAAAUUUUCAGGUAAAUACUAUAUUGGAAAAUUUUGUACAACAUACAUUUUUGUAUUAAAAGGAGACAACUCUACAAUUUUUCAAAUUUGAAUACGAAUCGUCUCAAUUUA